UACAGGGGGGGCAAGCGUUGUUCGGAAUUACUGGGCGUAAAGGGUUCGUAGGUGGCUACCUAAGUCAGACGUGAAAUCCCUCAGCUUAACUGGGGAACUGCGUCUGAUACUGGAUGGCUUGGAUUCGGGAGAGGAAUGCGGAAUUCCAGGUGUAGCGGUGAAAUGCGUAGAUAUCUGGAGGAACACCGGUGGCGAAGGCGGCAUUCUGGACCGACAUUGACGCUGAGGAGCGAAAGCCAGGGGAGCAAACGGG
rnacentral:rRNA from 1 species